GAGGGUAUAGCUCAAGUGGUAGAGUGUGUGCUUCGUAUGCACGAGGUUCUGGGUUCAAUCCCCACUACCUCCU
rnacentral:tRNA from 1 species